rnacentral:rRNA from 1 species
UACGAAGGGGGCUAGCGUUGUUCGGAAUCACUGGGCGUAAAGCGCACGUAGGCGGAUUGUUAAGUCGGGGGGUGAAAUCCUGAGGCUCAACCUCAGAACUGCCUCCGAUACUGGCAAUCUCGAGUUCGGAAGAGGUUGGUGGAACAGCUAGUGUAGAGGUGAAAUUCGUAGAUAUUAGCUAGAACACCAGUGGCGAAGGCGGCCAACUGGUCCGACACUGACGCUGAGGUGCGAAAGCGUGGGGAGCAAACAGG